UUGCAGCCGAAGGCCUACACAAGCCAGACAUUUAUCUGACUAAAAUAUUCGCAGUGUGUUCCCUCCUCUGCUCAAGCAGACCUCAUUGCAUUUAAGCGCCAAAAAAGUGGAAUUCCUGAACAGCAGGUGGAAAGAAAGCACAAGAUCAAAAGCACUUCUGGCUGCCAAGAGGACCUGCAGCGCUGCUUGUGGGUGCAUGGAAAAGUCACACAGGCUCCUGGCGGGGUUGGAGACUUUUGGAAGGUCAUCAAGGAGCUUGUUCAGGCAUCCCACAUCAAAAGGCAGCAGGAGGAGCCGCAGCAGCACACGCGGUCCCACGGGGAUGGUGCUAAAGACACCGGUCACCCAUUCGUAGAAGAACGUAACUCGUUUUCCCAUCACAUCUAUGGUAACAGCUCUAAGAAGUUAGUGCUCAGUGGAGCCUGUGGGUAAACGUGUUUGCAGACAGAGUGAGGUAGCAGCUGUGAUAGCACCCAUGAGCAAAAGAAGGUAACCAAGGCAGAAGCGAAGAGCAGAGAGCGAGCUGUACACUACUGUUAGUAUGAAGGAACAAAAUCAACAUGGUACCUGCAGGAUCAGGUCACAAGGAUUAAUGGCUAGCAACACUGCGCUUAACUGGAGACACCCUAAUGCUACUGUGGCCCUGGAACUGGGUAACAUCAACGAUAAGAUCUUCCUGCCUCAGCGUUAAAGGCUCUGAGCCUGCUUCUUUCACUCACGCUGGGGAGGUUUCCAAAGAAGGCCCAGCUUUUGCAGUCUACACCUUCGACGGGAGUUACAGGACAGCCCUCGCUCACUCCGCGUAGCCUACAGGAAGAUGACAGGUAUUUCCCCACAAAGUCCUACGCUCACUGGGAGCCAUGUUGUCUCAGCAGUAGCUGAGCACUGAGGGUUAGCGCUGAGGAGUCUUUUUUACAUGAUGAUAUCAAUCGUCAUUUUUAAUAGGGGUUUAAGGUACUGUCCUAUGAACCUUAAGACUAUCUUGGAGGCCUUUAGAAUAGCUGAAAUAAGAGCACAUUUUUAAAAUAGCAUCUUUUCACUACCAGACUGCAGCAAGGAACAUGGGGAAACACUUCUAACUGCCUCCUACCAGCUCAGCCUUAUCCUGUUGCUGUCCAGACCUACUAGUAGGUAUAUUAAAUACCGUGUCUGAAAGCGCGGGAAAGAUAAUUACCAUCACUUCUACAGACUUCUUCAUAUAGGUCAGGACUGAGCUGACUGAAGGCUGCCUUGAAAAGCAAACUGCUGUUUCCCAGCUGGGAGUUUUAAAGCAGCCUAAGGGAUUUGGAUCACAUAAGAACAAAACUUCCUGCUCAACUGAAAGCAACGGAGUGACCAAGGUCUCCUCUGGCCAACUCUGGGAGCUAGGACAACAAGGAGGAGGGCGUGAUAGCUGGCAGCAAGCUGGCAGCCCUUUGACAGCUGCGAUGAAAGAGGAGCAGUACAGAAAUCAACAGAAAGUGGGCCCUUGUUGUCCGGAAACAAUAAACAUCGGGAUUUUGUUUUAUUUUUAAUAGGA
rnacentral:lncRNA from 1 species